AAAGUCGUAACAAGGUUUCCGUAGGUGAACCUGCGGAAGGAUCAUUAACACGUUUCGUUCCGAACGUUUCUCGAUCAUUCUUUAUUUUCCGUGCACCACAUGCGUCCGGCCUCCCAGACCGCCCGCCGGGUUUACUCGGUGUCGGCCUGUUUGGGCGUUGACGGGGAUCCAAGGCGCUCGCUCGAUUGUGAUGAUACGUCGGAUCGAUCUUGCGAUGCACCUCCCUGUUGGCGUUGCCAUCAACCCAAACCCUUUAAUCUAACUGAUCUGAACUUUAGUUGGCAUCACUGCUAACGAUUUACAAAAUAAACAACAACUCUUAACAACGGAUAUCUUGGUUCUC
rnacentral:misc_RNA from 1 species